rnacentral:rRNA from 1 species
UCGUCAGCUCGUGUCGUGAGAUGUUGGGUUAAGUCCCGCAACGAGCGCAACCCUUGCCUUUAGUUGCCAGCAUUAAGUUGGGCACUCUAGAGGGACUGCCAGGGAUAACCUGGAGGAAGGUGGGGAUGACGUCAAAUCAUCAUGCCCCUUAUGUUUAGGGCUACACACGUGCUACAAUGGGUGGUACAGAGGGCAGCCAAGUCGUGAGGCGGAGCUAAUCCCUUAAAGCCAUUCUCAGUUCGGAUUGUAGGCUGAAACUCGCCUACAUGAAGCUGGAGUUACUAGUAAUCGCAGAUCAGAAUGCUGCGGUGAAUGCGUUCCCGGGUCUUGUACACACCGCCCGUCACACCACGGAAGUUGUGGGCGCCCGAAGCCGGAUUGCUAACCUUUUGGAAGCGUCCGUCGAAGGUGAAAUCAAUAACUGGGGUGAAGUCGUAACAAGGUAACCGUA